AGCGAACGCUGGCGGUAUGCCUAACACAUGCAAGUCGAACGAGAUCUUCGGGUCUCGUGGCGCACAGGUGCGUAACGCGUGGGAAUCUGCCCUUUGGUUCGGAAUAACAGUUGGAAACGACUGCUAAUACCGGAUGAUGACGAAAGUCCGAAGAGUUAUCGCCGGAGGAGGAGCCCGUGUAGGAUUAGCUAGUUGGUGUGGUAAAGGCACACCAAGGCGGCGAUCCUUAGCUGGUCUGAGAGGAUGAUCAGCCACACUGGGACUGGGAUCCGGCGCAGAGUCCUACGGUGGGCAGCAGGGAGGAAUAUUGGAUACUGGGCGAUAGCCUAAGCCAGCAAGGAGGCGUGGGUGAUGAAGGACUUAGGGUUGUAAAGUUCUUUUACCCGGGUUGGUAAUGACAGGACCGGAAGAAUAAGCUCCGGCUAACUCCGUGCCAGCAGCCGCCGUAA
rnacentral:rRNA from 1 species